rnacentral:rRNA from 1 species
UGACUGUACUAAGGUAGCAUAAUCAUUAGCCUUUUAAUUGGGGGCUGGAAUGAAGGGUUAUUAUUAAGAAGAGAGGUUUUGUUUAUUGAAUUUGAAUUUAAAUUAAGAGUUAAAAUGCUUUUAUGUAUCUUUGGGACGAUAAGACCCUAGAAGUUUUAUAUCGAAAUUAUAGGAUUGAGAUAGUUAGUUGGGGAGACUGAUGAAGAGUAUAAACUUUAUAAUGUGAGAGAAAGUAAAGAAUUACUCUAGGGAUAACAGCGUUAUUUAAUUUUUAAGU